UCUAGCUUGCUAGAUGCUGACGAGUGGCGCACGGGUGCGUAACGCGUAUACAAUCUACCUUUAACUGAGGGAUAGCCCAGAGAAAUUUGGAUUAAUACCUCAUAGUAUUAUAAUUAGGCAUCUUUUUAUAAUUAAAACUUCGGUGGUUAAAGAUGAGUAUGCGUACUAUUAGCUAGUUGGUAAGGUAAAAGCUUACCAAGGCAACGAUAGUUAGGGGGCCUGAAAGGGUGAUCCCCCACACUGGUACUGAGACACGGACCAGACUCCUACGGGAGGCAGCAGUGAGGAAUAUUGCACAAUGGAGGAAACUAUGAUGCAGCCAUGCCGCGUGCAGGAAGAAUGCCCUAUGGGUUGUAAACUGCUUUUAUACAAGAAGAAACCUCGGUACGUGUACCGACUUGACGGUAUUAUAUGAAUAAGCACCGGCUAACUCCGUGCCAGCAGCCGCGGUAAUACGGAGGGUGCAAGCGUUAUCCGGAUUUAUUAGGUUUAAAGGGUCCGCAGGCGGAAUAUUAAGUCAGUGGUGAAAGCCUACAGCUCAACUGUA
rnacentral:rRNA from 1 species